UACUUUGAAUUUCUGCCUUUUAUUUCUUGAUUAUUGUAUUUGAAAUAUUAUAAAUCAUUUCCCAAAUAAUAGUUGGUCGGAGACAAAAACGGCUGUAUUCUAGUUACAUAGAAUAGACUGUUGUAGGAACCUUAUGAUUCUUCUGUAUUCGUACUCGGAUUUUUUUAGGCAUAGACACCGAGUACAUACUGUAUAUAUAUACCAUACACAACUGGCCUAUACUUAUGCACAUUUAACAUAUGUAUGUAUAUCUUAAGUGAAGCCAACAAAUCUCUUAAUGAAGGUAAACUUGUUUGUUGUGUGGAUGUGUGAAAACACACAUAUAAUAAUGAAAGCAAAAUAGAGAGAAAAACUGUAAAAUAAAUAUUAAAAACGCUGAUCGAGCGUGAAAUAUAGCCAAACAUUCAUUGUGUAUAUAUGUAUGUAUACAUACAGUGGCAAAUUUAAUUUUGACUUCUGCCAUCAAACAAUUUUAUUCUAAAAUAGAACGAAGGCAAACAAAUUAAGUGGGUGUGUAGUUAAUUUGAAGAAGUAAAAUAUAAAAUUUGAAGUAUACAUACAUAUGUAUGUGCAUAAGUAAAUAAAUUAAUUUAAGGUGUGUAAGCGGUCACAAAAUAUCAACCAAUUUUGAAGAAAGCAAGUGAUCAUUAUUUAGUAAGUAAGAAUAACUUGUAUAUAUGGUUUUGGCAUUACUAUAGUGUUUCCGAAUUAUCAAAGCGACAUAUGUAUAUAUGAAUGUCAGGUGAUACACAUUUACAUCAAAUUAGGGUGUUCGAUAAUUUUUUAAUUUCUCUUUAAAGAGAAACAAAGUUCAUGGUUUAUUUUAUGUAAAAUGGUUCCCUGAAAUAAACUGCUUUUACGGAUAAUUAUGCUUAAUAUGAAAGUUAGAAGUAAUGAUAAUAAGGGUGUUUUUUUCGAGGUAUACUCGUAGAACUUUAAGUUGGCAUUACUGUUCAAGAUGGCGACCGAUUUAACAGCUGUCAACAUAACAUAAUGGUUUUGUGCGAAAUACGUAUCGCGCACUACGUUCAUUUUAUCGUCGAGCGCACUUCUGGUUGAAUGGCUACGUCAACAAACAAAACUGCCACAUUUGGAGAGAAGCUAAUUCUCAAGUGUAUGUCGAAACACUGUUACAUCCAGAAAAACUGACUGGUGCGCUUUAUGGGCUGGUGGAAUCAAUGGUCCGUACUUCUUCAAAAACGAUGAUGGCCAGAACGUUACAGUCAAUGGUGAUCGAUAUAGAGCCAAGAUUACUAACUUUUUCAUUCCUGAAUUGAACAACCAUGAUGUUCAGGAGCUGUGGUUCCGACAAGACGGCGCAACAUGUCACACAGCUCGUGCCACAAUCGAUUUAUUGAAAGACACGGUUUGGACCUUUGAAUUGGCCUCCAAGAUCUUGUGAUUUAACACCGCUAUACUACUAUCUGUGGGGUUGUGUAAACUCAUUGGUCUAUGCGCAUAAGCCAUAAACGCUUAACCAUUUGGAAAACAACAUUCGCCGUGUUAUUGCGAAUGUUGGAAAAAGUCAUCGAAAAUUAGACGUCCAGAUUGGACUACAUCCGAGCCAGCCGUGGCGGUCAUAUGCCAGAAAUCAUAUUUAAAAUGUAAUGCCACAAGAUUAUCUUUCGGCUAAAUAAAAUCCAUGUCAAUCGAAUAAACCAUCGUUGUUUUAUCGCAAUUUAAAGUUCAAUAACUCUAAAAAAACACCCGUUAUAAACCCAGAAAUGAUAUAUGACAUUAUUAGAAAGACUCUGCUAAGGACAGACAUUGUAACAUCAGAAAAUUCACCCACGUGGCUAAGAAGUCGGAAGUGAUUUCAAAUUAAGGUCACAUAAGCAGGAAAAGCAAAUGUUUCAACAAUAAGCGGGACAGUCACGUUUUAUUUUUGUUAUUAUUUUCAAAUUUAUAAAUGACAUACUUAGUGUGAAUUAAAAAUAAAUCUUCCUUUAAUCCUUUAAAAAUAACAUAUUACAAUAAAAUACAUUCUAAAAUUUAGCUGUUCUGUUCAAUAUGUUUAUUUUUAAACGCGUUUUUCUCAAAACUACUUUUUCAAGUACGUUUGAGUGAUUUACGCAGAGACGAAUGAUUCGAUCACUAUAAAAUUUUUCUGAAUGUUCGGUAUAUAAUUCACUCUAAAUUGGCAAUUUUAUUAAACUGAUCAAAAAUCGAAUUUUGCCAGGAUAAAAUGACUACAAUUUUGGUUAAACUUCAAUUGUUUUAAACGAUGCCAUUUUGCCAAUUUUUGAUUUUUUUCGAACGUAGAUCAUUGUCCAUACAAGUAGGCGUCAUCCUCGGAGAAAGUAUACGGUAUAGCGUCACACUAGAUGAAUCCCUUAAUUAUUAGACUAUUAUUUAACAAAAAACAAGUGACUUCAAAUUAAUUUUUUUAAUUAAUUGGCUGCUAUUAAAUAUGCAUUAAGAUAUUUAAUAAAUAGAAUUGAAAAAUCUAUUUAAAUAUUAGACUCGCGAAAUUGAAAUUGCUAAAAACUACAUAUUUAAAGUAUGCGUUAUAAUUUGAAAGUUAAAUGAUGACAACUAACUCAUAAAACCAGACAAUUAUUAUAGUGAAUUGCUACAACACAAUUAAUUCGAUCGACAGUCAAAAUCUCUUCUCAACCCUAAUGUAAGAUGCAGCCACAUGCAACAUAUAAUAUUUAUAAUAGCCAAGUCGAAAGAACAUUAACUAGCCAAUGUAGAAAAACAAAUUUAUGUACACACGCAUAAAUAUGCAUACAUAUUUGUUGGUGUGCACCGUAAACUGUAAGUAUGGCGGCAUUUAAAUGCGGGUAACGCUGCAGGUCAACAUUGCCGACUAUGGUACUACUAUAUUAUAUUAGAGACACGUUGUGUUAUGUACAUAUAUACAUAUGUACGAACGACUAAAUUCCUUUGCGCGAUGGUUUGAGAAGAAAAUGCGAAAAGUACUCCAUAAGCAAAUACUUGUAAACAAACAAUAUCAAAAGUAGGACUAAUGAAAUAUGGCAUUGAACACAAAUUAGUUUAGUGUGCAUAGGCACAAAGGACAACAGUGAAAAUACGAGACAUUAAAAAUAAAAUACAAAUACUAAAAAAAAUUUAACUAGUGGAGGCGAUGGUGGAACGCCUACCAAUACUAAAAGUGUAUAGAAGUACAUACCUAACCCAAAAAUAUUGAUGCAUAAGUGGUGUCAUCAGCUGUGAAAACUGAAAACUUUUAGCACAUCUUUCAGCGAGUGUGUGCACAAAGGAUGAGGAUUAAAAAUUAUUUCGUCGAAAAAAUUGCGGCUUAAUUUCAACGUCGCCAGCGGAGUGCGUUGCGCGGUAAAAACCCAAUGUGGACAAUUGAAAAGGGAAACUUUUAUAAUACUUAUAUUUUGAGUGUAUCGAGUAUUUAUCAGAGCUGUAAAGUUAACAUUUUCACGGUGCCCUAAUCGCAGAUUUACUACGAAUCCACCGUCUGAAGCAUACCUUUUGCGUUAUUUAAUCCUAGAAAAAUUAUUAAUUGUAUUAUUGACAAAGUAAAGGCGCAUUAUAUUUGCACCAAACUGUAUUAUUUUAAGGUUAUAAUUAAGAAGUUUGUUAAUUUGUCAUCCUUUUGCUUCAACAGGUCUAUUAACUUGCGAGCAUAUCAAAUCUUUAUGCACAUAAGGACCAGAAACAAAUUCACAGCAGUUAAAGUAGCAAAUCAAUAUUUCUAUUGCUAAACCUAACCUUUUUGAUUAUUCGAUUCAGUAACAUUUAAAGAGUGGCGAAUCGAAGAAAAAACCGGCAAAAAAUAAAGAGAGAUAUUUAAUUUUUAUUGCUUGCGAAGAGCAAUGAAAUAAAUCUCAACCAGCGAUUGUGUGGAGGAAACGGCGUAUAAUCAAUCUUUUUGCUAUUGAAACACAAAAUAUUGUAUUUUCCGGACAAAAUCUUUCUGCUAGCGAAGCGCACCAAAAUAAAACAACGAACGUACUGAAGAAUGACUGAAUGAAACAAAGAAAUUUCGCUCAUAGUCGUACUACGCAGUGUUGGGGACGACUGGAGCCUAACCCCAAUUCAAGUCAAUUGAGUAAAUUUACUGUUCGAGCGCCAAACCAAGCAAAUCGAACAAUAGCCAACAGCGCCAAGAGCGUAUUGGACCGCAAGAAAGAGCGCAAGUGCGAGAAGAUUGCGAGAGACGCACUGCCAUGUGCAUAUGGAAGUGUAUGUGUGUGUAUGUACUCACAUACGUAUGGAACAUUAAAAAACGCUGGCGAAAGAAAAGAUGCAUCGUAAACUCGGUUUUAAAAAAAAAUGUAUAAAUAAUAGAAAAUAUGUGGGUAAUAUAAACACACAAAAGACUGUGCAAACAAUAAGUACCCGUAUAAUCGUACCCGUGUACUCAUAUAAACCACUAUAAACGUAAUGAUGAUGAAAGAAGCAACGUGAAGCAGAGACAUGGGGCGGCGUAUGACAUAUUAUUCAUUUGCCUAAUAUGAUUUUUCGCAACAAAGAUAAAAACUUGCAUGCAAAUAUGUUUUGAAGACAAAGCAAAUAUGCAUAUGCAUAUAGUAAAUGCACAGGUAUAUAUUUUAAGUAUAUGGCAACACGUAAAGCUUUAUUGCAUCUUCAGCGUCUUAUUGUCAACUGCGAAAUAAUGAAAACGUCGUGUUAUGAAGAGUCAAAAGACAAAGUCGCAAACGUAAAGAGCAAACGAAAUGUCAUGAGAGAUGGUGGCAAGGCGCAGGAAAAAAAAAACAGAAAAUGAAAAGCUACAUGCAUACCGUACACACACACACACACGUGCAGCUUGGCUGAAUUUGAUGUGCAAAGAGUAGAAGUCAAAACAAAUACUAAUAAAAAUAAAUAGUUUACAAAAAAAAAAACAAAAAAUACUAGAUAUUACAAACA